rnacentral:rRNA from 1 species
GACGAACCGUACGAACGUUAUUCGGAAUCACUGGGCUUAAAGGGUGCGUAGGCGGCGCGACAAGUUGGGUGUGAAAUCCCUCGGCUCAACCGAGGAACUGCGCCCAAAACUGUCGUGCUCGAGGGAGACAGAGGUGAGCGGAACUUAGGGUGGAGCGGUGAAAUGCGUUGAUAUCCUAAGGAACACCGGUGGCGAAAGCGGCUCACUGGGUCUCUUCUGACGCUGAGGCACGAAAGCUAGGGUAGCGAACGGA